AAACAAGGCAAUACCAAUACCCUUCCCUGUGGUCGCGUGCCCUUUUAUAUCAUCAGAGUUACUGCGCAUCGAACAAGUAGGGAACAGCAAACCCAUAUUCAGGUCAAGUGAAGUGCUCGUUUUGUCACUCUGCUCAAUUGGGAAGAAGGGCACGCAUUAUUCGCCGUUGGAUUCAACUUGUUGCUGCUCCUCACUCACUCAUUUUUUCCGAAGGCUUUCUUUGCUGAUGCAGGGAUGAGUUCAUUCUCCAUCACGCGGAAAAAGACUCCAUUCCAGAAACACAGAGAAGAGGAGGAGGCAAAGAAGAAAAGAGCGGAAGAUGAGACUGCUCGCCUGUAUGCUGAGUUUGUAGAGUCAUUUCAAGGUGAUAGUACUCCUGGGUCAAAGGCUUUUGUUCGAGGAGGAACAAUUAAUCCCAAUGAUAAAUUUAAAGAUGAUUCUGAGGGUGAAAAGUCCAAAGAUGGGGUAUCUGGUCCAAAGAAGGGAAGUAGGUAUGUACCAUCUUUUAUUCCUCCUCCAAUGGCAACCAAGGGGAAAGAACCGGAAAGGAAAAAAGAGGAGGAAAAGCCAAAGGAGAAAGAGAAAGGAAAAUCAAGAAACAUUGAUCAUUUUAUGGAGGAGCUAAAGCAUGAACAAGAGAUGAGGGAAAGGCGAAAUCAAGAACGUGAACAUUGGCGUGAUGGGCGUCAUGGAGAACAUUCUAUGUCUAGUCGCUUUGAUGAACUGCCUGAUGACUUUGACCCAAGUGGAAAACUUCCAGGAUCAUUUGACGAUGGUGAUCCACAAACUACAAAUCUUUAUGUUGGAAAUCUUUCACCCAAGGUUGAUGAAAAUUUUCUGCUCCGCACUUUUGGAAGAUUUGGACCUAUUGCUAGUGUGAAGAUUAUGUGGCCUAGGACAGAGGAGGAGCGAAGGCGGCAAAGAAAUUGUGGCUUUGUUGCUUUCAUGAACAGAGCUGAUGGGCAGGCUGCAAAAGAUGAAAUGCAAGGAGUUGUGGUUUAUGAGUAUGAAUUGAAAAUUGGAUGGGGAAAGUCUGUUGCCCUCCCAUCGCAAGCACUACCUGCACCUCCACCAGGCCAUAUGGCAAUCAGGAGUAAGGAGGGUAGUACUGUGAUCCUGUCUGGCCCUUCUGGUCUGCCGGUGACAUCUGUGCCUAAUCAGAACUCUGAAUUGGUUCUAACUCCUAAUGUUCCGGAUAUAAUGGUUACACCUCCUGAGGAUGAACAUCUAAGGCAUGUCAUUGAUACAAUGGCUUUGUAUGUCCUUGAUGGAGGAUGUGCUUUUGAACAAGCUAUUAUGGAGAGGGGUCGUGGCAAUCCUCUUUUCAAUUUUUUGUUUGUUCUUGGCUCGAAGGAACAUACCUACUAUGUUUGGAGACUCUACUCAUUUGCUCAGGGUGAUACUCUUCAAAGAUGGAGGACUGAACCAUUUAUCAUGAUAACGGGUAGUGGAAGAUGGAUUCCUCCCCCAUUACCAACUUCAAAAAGUCCAGAACAUGAAAAGGAAUCUGGCACCACUCAUGCUGGAGGAAGAAGCAGGCGUGUGGAGCCUGAAAGAACACUGACCGAUGCACAGAGGGAUGAGUUUGAGGAUAUGCUGCGUGCUUUAACACUAGAGAGGAGCCAGAUAAAAGAGGCUAUGGGGUUUUCUUUAGAUAAUGCUGAUGCAGCCGGCGAGAUUGUUGAAGUUCUGACUGAAUCCUUGACACUUAAAGAAACCCCUAUUCCAACUAAAAUUGCAAGGCUUAUGCUUGUCUCUGAUAUUCUUCAUAAUAGUAGUGCUCCUGUAAGAAAUGCAUCAGCAUAUCGCACUAAGUUUGAAGCAACGUUGCCGGACAUAAUGGAGAGUUUUAAUGACCUGUACCGUAGCAUAAUGGGGCGGAUUACUGCUGAAGCCCUAAAGGAACGAGUGCUGAAAGUUUUGCAAGUGUGGGCCGACUGGUUUCUCUUUUCAGAUGCUUAUGUGAAUGGCCUAAGAGCCACUUUUCUUCGACCUGGGAACUCUGGGGUAAUACCAUUCCAUUCCAUAUGUGGUGAUGCUCCUGAGAUUGAGCAGAAGAUCACUUCUGAAGAUACAGUUUUUGGUGGCAAGACCAACCAAGAUGCUGCAUUGGCAAUGGGUCGAGGAGCUGCAAUGCAGGAGCUAAUGAAUCUUCCUCUUGCUGAGCUGGAAAGACGGUGCCGACACAAUGGAUUGUCACUUGUUGGGGGUAGAGAAAUGAUGGUUGCACGCUUGCUAAGUCUUGAAGAGGCAGAAAAGCAAAGAGGUUACGAACUAGAUGACGAAUUGAAAUAUGCCCACAACCAAGUGAGUUCAGGGAAAUAUUCAAGUAAUCAGGGAGAAACAAGUGCUGAGCCUGAACCAGUAGGACUGUCUGGAUGGAACCAUUAUGGGGAUGAAGAUUUGCCGUCACAGGGCAAAGGGUCUGUGUCUUUAGCCCCAACCAUUCCUAUUCCACAGCCUGAACUUAAAGCCUUCACAAAAAAGGAGAAGAAUGAUCCAGUUUUGCCUGCCUCUAAAUGGGCCCGGGAGGAUGAUGAGAGUGACGAUGAACAAAGGAGAAGUGGAAAAAAUCUUGGCUUAAGCUACUCAUCUUCUGGUAGUGAGAAUGUUGCUGAUGGUCCUAUUAAAGCUGAUGAAUUGGAGUCUGCUGCUGAUACAAGUUUUUCAGCUCAUGCUGACAGUGGAAUGAAUGAAGAGCAAAGGUUGUAUUGUAUUUUGCCUUAAUUGCUGUCCCCUUCAUUCUUUUCAGUACCAGAUGGAGUUAUUAGUAGGUUGCCUAUGAACCUGAUCAUGUUGUUUCAUUCUGCCAGCAUAUACUGUCUUUUCACAGUUUGUGUUUCCGUUUAUAUUUGAUAGUGGUGGUUUUAACUUUCUAUCCCCUAAACUAUUCAAGUCCGUAUUUUUUUUCCUUGGAUAUAGCCUGUAGAAGGAUUUUUAUUUACAUCAUAUCUGGUGUCUGCUAAUGGAGCAUGUUAUGAACUGUUGUACAGGCAAAAGCUGAGACGCUUGGAGGUUGCUUUAAUUGAAUAUCGUGAGUCUCUUGAAGAAAGGGGAAUUAAAAAUUUGGAGGAAAUUGAGAAGAAAGUUUUGGCACAUAGGAAACGGCUGCAAGUGGAGUAUGGGCUAUCAGAUUCUGUUGAAGAUGGUCGAGGCAAUAGAAGAUCUUCGGAGAGGAGAGAUAGGCAUGAUGUUUCAAGGAAACGGCACCGCAGCCGAAGUCCAAGUAGUAGUCCACAGCCAAAAUUAUCAGGUAAAGACAGAGAAAGAGAACAUGAUUUAGAAAGGGAUCAAGAGAGACAAAGAGAUAGAAGUUAUGAUUUUGACAGUGAUAGAGGAAGGGACCGGCACCGGGAAAAGAGUGGAAGCAGAGAGAGGGAUGAUCAUGAUAAGGAUAGAGGCCGAGACAGGGACAGGAGAAGACGGACCAAAUAAGAACAUUUCAGGUGUUCUAACAUUAGAGAUCUGUUAGCUUAAUGAUUUGCAGAUUGGUUUGUAAGAAUCUGGAGUACACUUGGCUUUUUGUAUCAUAGGGGGAAUAUCUAUGUGAUACCUAAGUGAAAGAUAGGGAUGAUCUGUCAGGAAAUUGUUACUAUAGACAAUUUGAAAAUGCCAGUGAGUUAAUUUUAAUUUGAUUUAAUCUUAAGAUUUUAAAUCUCGUUAAUUUUUCUGAGUGAAUUAAUGCAUGUUGCUGCACAAUGCAAUAUAAUCAA